AACGCGAAGAACCUUACCUGGCCUUGACAUGCUGGUAGUAGGAGCCUGAAAGGGUAACGACUCAUCGUAAGAUGAGAGCCAGCACAGGUGCUGCAUGGUUGUCGUCAGCUCGUGUCGUGAGAUGUUGGCUUAAGUGCCGCAACGAGCGCAACCCUUGUGUUUAGUUGCCCGCGCAAGCGGGAUCUCUAAACAGACUGCCUCGCUUUAAACGAGGAGGAAGGUGGGGAUGACGUCAAAUCAGUAUGGCCCUUACGGCCAGGGCUGCACACGUGCUACAAUGCAUGGUACAGAGGGACGCAAGACCGCGAGGUGGAGCAAAUCCCACAAAACCAUGCCCAGUUCAGAUUGAAGGCUGCAACUCGCCUUCAUGAAGCCGGAAUCGCUAGUAAUGGCGCAUCAGCUACGGCGCCGUGAAUACGUUCCCGGGCCUUGUA
rnacentral:rRNA from 1 species